ACAAGAAUAGAAAAACGCAAGAAUAGUAGGUUGAAAUCACCUCGAUUUAAAGUUGGAGCAAUAUCGGCACGACUGUUAAGUCUCCAAGGCAACUAGGCAAGUUUAAACUGUUGGAUGUUGCGCGAAUUUAAGCGACCGGUUGGCCUGUUAUCACUUUAUAAUUAAUUGAUUAAUUGGUGAAAGUGAGAACUAACUAGCUACGUUAACUCUGGAUUUUGGGAGUCGCGAGGUUGACUACAUUUCAGUGGCGACAAGCUGUGUUUCGGACUCACCUGCUAGGACUUUACUCCACCACCUGCAGGCUUCCACACCGGGAACACCGGGAGUUUUGUAAAAAAAACACACAAAAAACACAGCCGAGCCUGUAGCAUCUGAACACCGAGGAGAAGGAGGAGGAGGAGGAGGAGAAGAGGGAGAGUACGGAGGCACAAAGAGUGGAGAGCAUCCAGAGAGAGGGGAGGAAGGAGGACGGCACAACAACAGAGAGCAUCCCUCUUUAAUUUAGGAUCCACACAGGCACCACUCUGCCCGUAUAAGCAUCCUCUGGACACGGGAUCCCGAACGCUGUUUAUCCACCAAAAGGGACGACUGCUCCUGAUCUGUGUACCCCUGCAGUACCCAGUCCUCCUCUCCACUCUGUCCCAAUGAAGGAGGCCGACGCCAUCAAGCUGUUCGUGGGGCAGAUUCCCCGUAAUCUGGAAGAGAAGGACCUCAAGCCUAUCUUCGAGCAGUUUGGCAAGAUCUAUGAGCUAACUGUGAUUAAGGACAAAUACACUGGCAUGCACAAAGGAUGUGCGUUUCUGACGUACUGUGCGAGAGAGUCGGCACUGAAAGCCCAGAGCGCUCUCCACGAGCAGAAAACACUACCAGGGAUGAAUCGGCCAAUCCAAGUGAAACCAGCUGACAGCGAGGGCAGAGGAGUUGGCCUCUCAGAGGACAGGAAGUUGUUUGUGGGCAUGCUGGGAAAGCAGCAGAGCGACGAGGACGUGAGGAGACUGUUUGAGCCCUUUGGCAGCAUAGACGAGUGCACUGUGUUGAGAGGACCUGACGGCACCAGCAAAGGGUGCGCUUUUGUAAAAUACCAAGGACACGCUGAAGCCCAGGCCGCCAUCAACAGCUUGCAUGGAAGCCGCACAAUGCCUGGAGCGUCGUCCAGUCUGGUGGUGAAGUUUGCCGACACAGAGAAGGAGCGGGGGCUGAGGAGGAUGCAGCAGGUGGCCUCGCAGCUCGGCAUCUUCAGCCCCAUGACCCUCAACUUCCCCGCCUACAAUGCCUACACACAGGCGGUCAACGCACAGCUUGUCCAACAGCAGGCCCUGGUUGCCCAGUCAGCGUACUUGUCUCCUGUGGCAACAGUUGCCGCCGUACAGAUGCAGCAGAUGGCGGCGCUCAAUGCCAACGGAAUCAUUGCCACACCCAUUACACCCAUCACGCCGUCCUCGGGUACAAACACUCCACCAACUAUCGCAGCAACGCCUGUGCCCUCUCUCCUUCCGCCACUAGGAGUGAAUGGAUACAGCAGUCUGCCCGCCCCCACCAAUGGACAACAAGCAACAGAAGCACUAUACACCAACGGCGUUCAUCCAUAUCAAGCUCAGAGUCCAGUUGCGACCCUGGACCCCCUGCAGCAGGCGUAUGCAGGCAUGCAACACUACACAGGUUGGUCGGCGUAUCCUGCUGCCUACGGAUUGGUCGGCCAGCCGUUCCCCCAGCAGCCAACAAUGGUUGCCCAGCAACACCAGCAGCCCCAGCAACAGCAGCAGAGAGAAGGUCCAGAGGGCUGUAACAUCUUCAUCUACCACCUGCCCCAGGAGUUCAGCGACUCUGAGAUGCUGCAGAUGUUCCUGCCCUUUGGCAAUGUCAUCUCGGCUAAGGUGUUUGUGGACCGAGCCACCAACCAGAGCAAAUGCUUCGGAUUUGUGAGUUUUGAUAACCCAGCUAGUGCUCAGGCCGCCAUCCAGGCCAUGAAUGGUUUCCAGAUCGGCAUGAAGAGACUGAAAGUGCAGCUCAAAAGGCCCAAAGAUGCCAACCGCCCAUAUUGAGUGACAACUGAGAGGAGGAAGAAGAAUUAAUGAGAGAUCCUUCCGUCCAAUCAUAAUUCUCGAGGACCCCAUCGCUAUGGCAAUGGUUGCCUAGUGAACGAUAAAGCCCUGACCCCCCCUUCCUCUCGCAUUGUUGUGACCUUUCAGAGUCCAGCCGAGGUGGAAUCCCAGGGUUCAUAGUGCUUUCAGACUGUCUGCUACCUUUGAGCGUCCGGGGAGUGCAGCCACACACACUGACACACACUCACACGACUACACAUGCGCUAUUAACUCUGAACCUCGAACGGUGGAAGGCUCAUUUACAAAUGUACAUAACGUGCACAAACACACACACACACA